rnacentral:lncRNA from 1 species
CAAGCUGAUUGGCUAAAAUAAGAUCACCCCGCUGACCAACCGUGGGGAGUUAAUUUCAUCAGAAAGAGAAGGACGGUGGGAAACCCUGCCACCACGCUACAGAGGAAUUUUCCUCAGCCGUCUACAGCGUCCAAGUUUGCUUCUACUAAAUUGGUACCAGGAGACCAUGCAGCAUUUGCCAGUGAGGAGAACGGGGCAGCAGAAAGAGAAGCUUCCUGCCACUUCACACAAUUUUGUGAUUUUUGUGUGUAUGAGAUUUGAAUCAUAUUAAUUCUGUCCAGCUGAUUGACAGAGCCACUGACUGCAACUUGAUAGAGUCCUCAUGGAUCCACAGGAGAAGAGGUGACAGGCUGCAUUCCUCUAUGAGACAACACUUUCUCUUGGAGUCCCAGCCUCUGCUGAGUUAGAGGGCAGCUUCGGGAGAGUCCCUCUGGGGAUGCACAGGCAUACCGGCAUGCCUUCUUCAGCCAUGCAUUUGUGAAGACGAGUGUUUGAGAAAACCACCACAUAGCUAUCAGUUCACUUUACAAGGCUAACCCAGACUAGGAUCCAGAGAGAUUCUUUGCUGAAUGGCUGCUUCUACAGAAGAAACCCCCAUGAAAUGUCUGAGCUUUAGAUCUGCCAGCCCAGUACCAUUUUUGAUCUCUGCUGGGCAUGAGGGGUGAGCACUAUGAGGAAAAAGUUGAGAUUUUUGUCUUCUCCCUUCUGUUUCCUAUCGGUUUCUCUCCCAGAUGAUGGCAGUGGUAUCUGAGCACCAAGCG